UUAGUUGAUAGAAUGAAUGUAAACACACCACGCACUUGUCCUUUCAUCUGGCGAUCUGACGAUUUGAAUGGAUCGUUUACUUUUAUGUUUUUAAGUUCUGUAUUCAUAUGAUAAGUGUAUAUCUGGAUGGAAUUGAACCGACUUCCUUAUGGUCCCUAACAUGCAGGACGUAGUAAACCAAAGGCCAAGCUGAUGCCAAGCUUCAGUGUAAAACUUUGAGCAGGUGCCAGAGAAACCAUCCUUGUUAAGAUGUGACAUUAAUCCCUUCAAACCUACAAAACACAAUUGAUUAGAGAUGCUAGUUAACCUUGUUAAUGCAUAUGACUGUGGAGAACUUAUGCUACAUUUACCUAAUAC